CCUACGGGAGGCAGCAGUGAGGAAUAUUGGACAAUGGGCGCAAGCAUGAUCCAACCAUGCCGCGUGCAGGAAGACUGCCCUAUGGGUUGUAAACUGGUUUUAUACAGGAAGAAACACUCCCUCGUGAGGGAGCUUGCCGGUACUGUAAGAAUAAGGAUCGGCUAACUCCGUGCCAGCAGCCGCGGUAAU
rnacentral:rRNA from 1 species